rnacentral:pre_miRNA from 1 species
UUGUAUGAGAGAUUGAAGCUGCCAGCAUGAUCUGAUAUUGCCAAACUGAUUUGCCUAUGUGUUUUUGUGUCAUGGUUUCUAGUGUGUAUGUAGAUUAACUGUGUCUUGUGGGGUGUUCUAGUGUGUGUGUGUGUUUUCAUGGUGUAUCCAGUGUGUGUGUUUAUGGGUAGGGUAAAGAAAGGUUAAUCAGGUCAUGGUUGCAGCUUCAAUUACUCAUUAC